rnacentral:rRNA from 1 species
GACGAACGCUGGCGGCGUGCCUAAUACAUGCAAGUAGAACGCACAGUUUAUACCGUAGCUUGCUACACCAUAGACUGUGAGUUGCGAACGGGUGAGUAACGCGUAGGUAACCUGCCUGGUAGCGGGGGAUAACUAUUGGAAACGAUAGCUAAUACCGCAUAAUAUUGAUUAUUGCAUGAUAAUUGAUUGAAAGAUGCUAUUGCAUCACUACCAGAUGGACCUGCGUUGUAUUAGCUAGUAGGUGAGGUAACGGCUCACCUAGGCGACGAUACAUAGCCGACCUGAGAGGGUGAUCGGCCACACUUGGACUGAGACACGGCCCAGACUCCUACGGGAGGCAGCAGUAGGGAAUCUUCGGCAAUGGACGAAAGUCUGACCGGGCAACGCCGCGUGAGUGAAGAAGGUUUUCGGAUCGUAAAGCUCUGUUGUAAGAGAAGAACGGGUGUGAGAGUGGAAAGUUCACACUGUGACGGUAUCUUACCAGAAAGGGACGGCUAACUACGUG